rnacentral:rRNA from 1 species
UGACCUCAAAUCAGGUAGGACUACCCGCUGAACUUAAGCAUAUCAAUAAGCGGAGGAAAAGAAACUAACAAGGAUUCCCCUAGUAACUGCGAGUGAAGAGGGAAAAGCUCAAAUUUAAAAUCUGGUACCCUUAGGGUGCUCGAGUUGUAAUUUGGAGAGGCGUUUUCUGUGCUGGACUGUGUAAAAGUUUCUUGGAAUAGAACAUCAUAGAGGGUGAGAAUCCCGUCUUUGACACAGACUACCAGUGCUAUGUGAUACGCUUUCAAAGAGUCGCGUUGUUUGGGAAUGCAGCGCUAAAUGGGUGGUAAAUUCCAUCUAAAGCUAAAUAUUGGCGAGAGACCGAUAGCGAACAAGUACCGUGAGGGAAAGAUGAAAAGCACUUUGGAAAGAGAGUUAAACAGUACGUGAAAUUGUUGAAAGGGAAACGCUUGAAGUCAGUCGCAUUGCUUUGGAUUCAGCCUUGCUCUUUUGCUUGGUGUAUUUCCUUUGUAAUGGGUCAGCAUCAAUUUCGUUCAGUGGAAAAAGGACGGGGGAAGGUGGCACCUCCGGGUGUGUUAUAGCCCCUGUCUGUAUACAUUGAAUGGGAUUGAGGUCUGCAGCACGCCUUUAUGGUCGGGGUUC